rnacentral:siRNA from 1 species
UGCUAAAGUGAUGAAAAAUGGAUG